rnacentral:rRNA from 1 species
AUUGAACGCUGGCGGCAGGCCUAACACAUGCAAGUCGAACGAGUGGCGGACGGGUGAGUAAUGUCUGGGAAACUGCCUGAUGGAGGGGGAUAACUACUGGAAAAGGGAGCUAAUACCGCAUACCAUCGGAUGUGCCCAGAUGGGAUUAGCUAGUAGGUGGGGUAACGGCUCACCUAGUCGACGAUCCCUAGCUGGUCUGAGAGGAUGACCAUCCACACUGGAACUGAUACACGGUCCAGACUCCUACGGUAGGCAGCAGUGGGGAAUAUUGCACAAUGGGCGCAAGCCUGAUGCAGCCAUGCCGCGUGUGUGAAGAAGGCCUUCGGGUUGUAAAGCACUUUCAGCGGGGAGGCGUUACCCGCAGAAGAAGCACCGGCUAACUCCGUGCCAGCAGCCGCGGUAAUAC